rnacentral:rRNA from 1 species
UAAUACGUAGGGUGCAAGCGUUAAUCGGAAUUACUGGGCGUAAAGCGUGCGCAGGCGGUUUUGUAAGUCUGACGUGAAAGCCCCGGGCUCAACCUGGGAAUUGCGUUGGAGACUGCAAGGCUUGAAUCUGGCAGAGGGGGGUAGAAUUCCACGUGUAGCAGUGAAAUGCGUAGAGAUGUGGAGGAACACCGAUGGCGAAGGCAGCCCCCUGGGUCAAGAUUGACGCUCAUGCACGAAAGCGUGGGGAGCAAACAGGAUUAGAUACCCUGGUAGUCCACGCCCUAAACGAUGUCUACUAGUUGUCGGGUUUUAAUUAACUUGGUAACGCAGCUAACGCGUGAAGUAGACCGCCUGGGGAGUACGGUCGCAAGAUUAAAACUUAAAGGAAUUGACGG